rnacentral:lncRNA from 1 species
CUUAGAAGUACUGUGCCUUUAACCAACAGGAGCUGUAGCAGGUACCCUUGGACCUGAUCCUGAUCCCACACAUGAAAAAAUACACGCACCUUUGACAUGGAUCUCACCUGAUCCAGAAACCCAUGCUCAUUUAUCGAAUUAAAGUGUUACAGAGCACAUCGGGAACUUAAGCCUUUCAAAUGAAUCCAUUUUCACGUACUCGAGUCAUAUAACAGAACAAAUUCCAGCUAAACCGCAUUGUUAAAGGAAAGGCUGGCGCCCGGUACUCAAAAGCUCAUUCGCACAGUCCGGGGUCCUGGCGGAGCGGUGCAAAAGUGAUACAGAGCAACGCUGUUGUUAGGUGGCAAGGCGGAAGAAAGGAAGCAAGUUCUAGAAACAGCACAAAACCCUUGUCUUUGCCAGUGCUUUGCAGAGGAUCGACAUAAAGCCGGCUUCACUUGAGGGAUUGACAGAAGAGAACCUCAGCAUAGCUCCUGAACAAAGACAGGGUCUUUAACAAGUCCGUGCCCCCCCCCCCAAGGAAUGAGAUGCUAUCAUAUAAGAAAAGGGUGCGCUUCUACGGAGAGCUGGACAGAAGGGCGCAGGUGCAGAUCUCACCUUUAGUUCAACAACAGCUCAAUACUGGUAUACUGUACUUGUUGAGGUCUUCUCGUUAUGCAAGCAGAAGACUUGCAAGAUAAUCUAACUUGGAUGUAA